GGGGCAGUAGCUCAGUUGGGAGAGCGCUAGGUUCGCAAUCUGGAGGUCGAGGGUUCGAUCCCCUUCUGCUCCACCA
rnacentral:tRNA from 2 species